rnacentral:rRNA from 1 species
GAUGAACGCUGGCGGCGUGCCUAAUACAUGCAAGUCGAGCGAAGCGGGGACGUGUGAGUAACAUGUGGAUAACCUCCUAUAGGACUGGGAUAACAUCGGGCAACUUGUCCUAAACCGGAUACUUGCAGAAUGUUCUCGGCUGCAUGAGCUAGUUGGGAAGGUAACGGCUUACCAAGGCAACGAUGCGUAGCCGACCUGAGAGGGUGAUCGGCGACACUGGAGGUGAGACACGGUCAAGACUCCUACGGGAGGGAGCAGUAGGGAAUCUGCCGCAGUGGGCGAGAGCCUGACAGAGCAACGCCGCGUGAGUGGUGAAGGUCAUGGGAGCGUAAAGCUCUGUUAUGAGGGAAGCGGUACCGAAUGAGGAAGCAACGGCUAACUACGUGCCAGCAGCCGCGGUAAUUC